AGAAUCAACGCUGGCGGCGUGCCUAACACAUGCAAGUCGAACGAGGAAGUGGAGCGAAUCCACAAGUAAAGUGGCGCACGGGUGAGUAACACGUGACUAACCUACCCUUGAGUGGGGGAUAACCUAGAGAAAUCUGGGCUAAUACCGCAUAAUACCUUCGGGUCAAAGGAGCAAUUCGCUUAAGGAGGGGUCGCGGCCGAUUAGUUAGUUGGCGGGGUAAUGGCCCACCAAGACUAUGAUCGGUA
rnacentral:rRNA from 1 species